GGCCGCGACGGCUUUCCAUUGGCCUUCCCUAUUUCCUUUCUGCUGAUGCUGCGUCGCGCCGACCGCUUCGACUCCCAUUGACCAUACAUACACAGAAGCCACAUGCUGUAGUCAAGCGUCCGUUUUCGUCCGCCGACACCACACAAAGCCGCGAGGCAGAACACCGGUUGCUGAGGAGGGAGUGCGAGAGACGCUGGUGAUACACAUAAAAACCCAGAGACGCACCAUCUGUGCCUCACGUUGACUUUACCAAAUCGCUUUCCAACGAUGCCUGCCUCUGCUUCGCCGUCCUCCGCGUCCUCCGGGAGCGGCUUCCUUCAGGAGCCGGUGGAGGCGAUGUGCAUGAAGUGCCACCAGAAGGCGAUCGAGUUCGAAACAAACUCGUGCCAUCACCCCUGUUUCUGCAAGCAAUGCGCCAUGAAGUGCGCCUCGGGCGGAAAAUGCAAGACAUGUGGCCAGCUCUACGCUGGUCUCACGCAUGUGAGGCGGUAGCGUUGCCGCGUACGUGAGCGUUUCUGUUGCGGAAAGGCGCGAUGCAUGAGCGGCCUCCGCUCUGCCUUUGAAGUGGGUCUCUCAUAUAUUUAUUUGCUGUUGUUGGCUGUUUUGGUUUCACUCGUUUUCACCUCUCCAUGAGUACUUGCGUGCCAUCCACUGCAUCUCCUUUGCGGAGCUCCCUCUGCAUCUGUCUGUUGUGACUCCACUCUUCCCCCGAUCACUUCACUGUCCGGACGGGGUCGUCCAAGUGAAGGGGUGGGUGUGGACCGCACACGCAACUGUGCGAAGCUCCUACACGCGCUCUUUGCGCGCACGCCAGCUCGUGGUAGAGCGCCACCAUAGCAACAGUGACACCAAGCC
rnacentral:misc_RNA from 1 species